ACUUCCCCCGUCCUCUCAGCUCUGGGAAGGGUGGGGUGGUCAUGAAGUCCUGAGAGAGCAGAGGGACACACCAACUUCUCUUGUUGGUUCCCUCAACCCUGCCCAUACCUAUGGGUAAUCAGAGAUGGAUUCAGUCUCCAGUUAGGAUCCUCAUCAAGGUAUUUGUAUGGGGGAUUCCAUGCAGAUGGUGUAUAGAGAGAAGAUAGACACAAGGGGAUCUUCAUAGCCAAGGACUGGAUUUGAACAAGUCAGUCUCCAGCUAUGUUUUAGACACUGAGGACUGUGCCCGUCAUCCCUUAGAGCUUCUCUCUGGGCCACUGGCUCGAAGGGCACAUCUCAGGGAAAAAGGUCAGUGUGAUUCCCUUAUUUCUUUGUGGAAAGACCUCAGUAGCCAAAGGUGUUUGCCCGUGUUAUUUGUCUGAACAAGAUCUUCUCUAGGACAGCUAGGUCCACAGGACAGCACCAAGAGUUACUCUGCAUGCUUAUAGUACCUGCUUACGAACAGAAACAGAGGCAAUAUUCACAUGAAAGCUCAAAUGUGGAUCUCUCCUACCAUAGUCACGUCUUCACAAGCUGACAGCCCUCUCAAUUCUGAGAUUUGUUAUUCAGUCUUUUCCCAAUAGGAUCUACAAAGCACCUCUUGACCAUUUAUCAUGCAUGGAACCAACAUGUCAAAUUCCUCAAUAACUGAUUCCCGCCUAGGAUCACACUCAUUGACUAGCUCCGCCAAUUCUUACAAUUCAUUCAGGCUCUGCUACAAGCAUACAGCUUUGCUAGAAGUAGAUUUCUUCUAGGAAAUUUCAUGCUACUGAGAGGUUGUGUGGCAGAGCCAUGUUGCCAUUCUUCCAGCAUGACUUGAUAGCUAAGUUGAACACUAUCCCAAGGAGAUGCCUCCUUGACAACUUACACUGCAAAGUGAAUCAUAACCCUGACCCUGGAGACUGCUAUAACGGGCUCCUGUGAGAGUUCUAUUUGCAGAACCCAGAAUUCACAACGGAACAUCAACAUAUCCAAAAGACAAGUUUCAAUGAACAGAUUCUCAGCAAAAGGACUCUAAGGAUGCAGAGGAAGGGAAGUCACCCAAUCUGGGAAGGAGGUUCCUUUCAAGACAAUGCUACCUCCCAAGGCCAAAAUGAUCUAAAGGCAUUUGGAGAUAACUCAAGUAGAAGUCUCU
rnacentral:lncRNA from 1 species